UACGGAGGGGGCUAGCGUUGUUCGGAAUUACUGGGCGUAAAGCGCACUAGGCGGCUUUGUAAGUCAGAGGUGAAAGCCCGGAGCUUAACUCCGGAAUUGCCUUUGAGACUGCAUCGCUUGAAUCCAGGAGAGGUGAGUGGAAUUCCGAGUGUAGAGGUGAAAUUCGUAGAUAUUCGGAAGAACACCAGUGGCGAAGGCGGCUCACUGGACUGGUAUUGACGCUGAGGUGCGAAAGCGUGGGGAGCAAACAGG
rnacentral:rRNA from 1 species